rnacentral:rRNA from 1 species
AGUGAACGCUGGCGGUAGGCCUAACACAUGCAAGUCGAACGGCAGCACAGUAAGAGCUUGCUCUUACGGGUGGCGAGUGGCGGACGGGUGAGGAAUACAUCGGAAUCUACUUUUUCGUGGGGGAUAACGUAGGGAAACUUACGCUAAUACCGCAUACGACCUACGGGUGAAAGCAGGGGAUCGUCGGACCUUGCGCGAUUGAAUGAGCCGAUGUCGGAUUAGCUGGUUGGGGGGGUAAAGGCCCACCAAGGCGACGAUCCGUAGCUGGUGUGAGAGGAUGGUCAGCCACACUGGAACUGAGACACGGUCCAGACUCCUACGGGAGGCAGCAGUGGGGAAUAUUGGACAAUGGGCGCAAGCCUGAUCCAGCCAUACCGCGUGGGUGAAGAAGGCCUUCGGGUUGUAAAGCCCUUUUGUUGGGAAAGAAAAGCAGCAGGUUAAUACCCCGCUGUUCUGACGGUACCCAAAGAAUAAGCACCGGCUAACUUCGUG